rnacentral:misc_RNA from 1 species
CCUGCACACGGAAACUUAAAGUUCCAAAUAAGAAAAAAAAAAGUAUCCUUCCUAGUAAGAAAAGAGCAAACAGAAUGUUAAGGAAAAAUAAAAAGAGAUUCAACCACUGGAAAGUAACGUACUUUAGACAGGCAAAUAUCAGUAGUGGCCUCGGCAUUUUAAGAGCAAGAGCAUAAAUGCAAGGCAAAUUCAUUAAUACAUUCCACACCAGAUAAAUAUAACUAAAGAAAUAGUAACAUAAAGUUCAUUUCGACACCUUGUUAAUUCCAAGAAUAAGAGCAUCAAGUUGAUUUUUCAAUUCAACUAUGCCUUAAUGCCAAACUAGUUAGGGUCUGCUAUAUGGUCAUCCCCAAGUUGAUUCAGUAUCAAAUAUGUCAGUCAUUUAUUUGAAUUUUUCGCAGACCAUAUUUGGAAACUCAGGUAAAAACAUAUAAAAUGUUUUACUUAUUAUCAGCAUUACUAAUUUACUAUAUCCAACUACAACUUGUAUUUUGCUUAUGACUAAAAAUAACAUUGCAAAGAAAUUAGUAAUAAAUUGUGUAAUAGUGACAUGAAAAUCAGGCAAGAAUAUAAUUAUAAUUCAGAAUGUGCUAGCAUCCAAAGACUAAAAAUCUGCUAUUCAUGGCCAGUUACAGGUAUGAAAAAGAAGGAAAACUAUAGGCCAUUCGAAACUAUCACACCAUAUAAGUGACGGAAAACAUUCUGGGAAUAGGAAAAAGAUUAAAGAGAACAGUAGAUAGGUCCAUUGAUUAAAAUAAACCAGUAAUAAUCAAUCCCAUGUACUACUCAAAUGGCAUCAGACCAGACAAUUGCAGUUGCUGAUUAACAAAAUUCUAUCACAUGAUUGGUUCUGCAUUUAUUAUCAAAAAGAAGAAUGAAAUACACUAUUUGGCAUAGUUUUUCUCUUCCAUUUGAGACAAGCACAUUAUCUGUUCAUCUCCUCUUUCAUUGAUGAUGUUGCUUUCAAAUGUUAGAGACUAGAAACACCAGAACAAUAUAUAAAAUGUACAAUUUUUUGACAUUCACAUUUCAACCAUAAAAAGCACUUGCUUAGCGAGAGUGUAUCAGUAUAAUAUAUUUAUCACUAGAAAAUUCUGAUUUCUACAGAUGCUGAACUUACUGUGACAAAGACCAUAUCAGAACCAUAAAGUGCCUCUUCUAU